CGCGUAUUUUGCCCAGGCGGAGCUCGACCGCCGCGGGAAGUGAUGGUGAGGUCCAUCGACGAUCAUCGCCAGGAGUACGGAGUCGAGCCGAUCUGCCGGGUGCUGCCGAUUGCUCCG
rfam:Oceanococcus atlanticus strain 22II-S10r2 contig2, whole genome shotgun sequence.